UAAAGUUGCUUCGACACUUCCUAUGCUCUCAUCGUUCCCAAAUCACCUUCCUCAAACUCACCGGCUGCAAAUUAACAUUCCAAAUCACCAGAAUUCUCAACUUCCUCAAGAGGUCUAUUCCAUUCUCACCUAAAUUCUCACCUUCUUCAAAUUAAAUCACCAGCAAACCUCAAAUCACCGUCCCAAAUCCCGCGUUCGCAAAUCACCGGCAAACAUUCCUCAAAUCUCAUUGUUGUUGGUGAUUUACUUUCAUCUCAACCGCAUUUAAGUUUAUCAAACCCAUGUCCUAAAUUCCCAAAUCCUCGAAUCUAUUUGUUAACCAAAAAUCCCCAAAUCUUGAUUGCUAACCCAAAACUACCAAAUCCCCAAAGUCCCAAACUCCAUUUGUUUCACUCGAAGGAUCUGAAGAACAGAGGAAUAAUUUUGAAGGUAGCGAUUACAGUGUAGAAAAUAUUUUAAAUCGGGAGAAAGUUUCGACCCAAAAGGCAAUCAACUUCAGAAUCUGAAAAAUAUUUGAAUAGUCAUGAAUCAAGAAGGGUGCUCAAGCAAAAAUAAGAAAAUAUCCAACCGCAUUCUAGCUAUAUCACUUGCAUCUUUGCGAAAUCAAAGGGUUUUGUCGUUGACAACAAAAAGAACCUUCCAAGCUACAAGGUCAAAUGCAAAUGAAGAACGACAAUCAGAAGGUGCAUUACCUUCAUCUUUGCGAAACCAAAAGGUUUCGGCGUUGAUAACAAAAACAAACUUGAAAGCUCUAAGGUCAAAUGUAAAUGAAUAAAGACAAUCCGAAGAUGGAUCUCAAUUGCAAGAACAAGAGCAACAAGUGCCACGGAAUUGCACUUCUUCAGCAAUACAAGGAGUACAUGAACAAGCGCAACAGGGGAAUAUGGAUUCCAUCACUCCCGCAUCACAGGGAGUACAUGAAUGAUAUGAUGAUUCUACCACUCAUGAAGCAGUUGAACAAUUUGAGGAACAAGGAAAAUAUAUAUAAAGUUUAAUCAUAAACUUAACUAAAAAUAGUGAUUAAUGAUUAUGCUUGUUUUGUACUAUUGCAGGCCCCUCCUCGCCAAAAAGAAAAAGAGUUCCUACUCAAAUGCCAAGGGUUCAUGGUAGAAAGGAGCGUAAAAUAAUCAUUCUAAAUGAGUAUAAUCAACCCGUUGGUCCUACUAAAAAGGUUGUAAAAGAGUUAGGUAGCUUCCUCGGCACAUUGGCAAGGAGUGGGAAUUUUUGUCCUCUUAAUGUAUUUAAGUGGAGGAAACUUGAUACAAAAGAUGAUAUAUGGAAAUAUAUCAAGUUUGUAGUGCUUGGAGAAAGUAUAAGAGUCAAUUGAAGAUAACUCACUUCACAACCUAUGAUAAUGAUGAGCUUCGAAUGGAUAAUAGGCCAGUAGAUAUUCUGGAAUCUCACUUUAAGGAUCUUCUUAAAUAUUGGAACUCUGAUCCUCACAAGGUAAUUACAUCCAGAAUCUAUUGUCUUGUUUUAACAUAAUUGUUUUUUGGUGCCUGAGUUAAAAGAAUAAGAAGUAAAAUAGUACCGAACAUGAAGGUCUCAAUUCUUUCAAGAAUAAACUAAUUCUAUAGUUUUAGUAUUUUUGUAACUAGGGAUGGGCAUAAUACAUAUAAAGUUGUUGCCUUCUAGUAUAAGUUGUGACCUAUUGCAUGUUUUUACUAUUCGAUAGAUAAAUUUUGUUAUGUGUUUUGUUACCUAUUUUGUAUCAACUUCUACUUGCUAUUAGCAGUUGUUGGUGUAUACCUGUGCUUUUUGACUUUCUGUGGUUUUGUGAUUAAUACCACAUACUUUGGUUGGAAUACAUAUUGUAUUAUCCCAAGAGAAGAAAGAUGGUUUGGGACGAUGUUACUCUCCUAGGCUUUGGUAAAUCUGUUUGCCACUGCUGAAGUGUUUUGGUUUUCUGUUUGCACGUUCUCUGUGUGCUUGUUCUCUAUAGUCUAUUAUUGGUUUCAUUUGUAGUGUACUUACCUUUGCAUGUGCUAUUGUCUGCUGAGCUUACUUCUCUGGCCAGAUUCACAUUAAGUGUAAUUAGUCUUGUUCAGGAACUCCAGAAGGCACCAAUGUAUACAAUCUACUUUUAGACCACUCUUCUCUUUCAAUUUCUGAAUGGCCACUUCCACCAAUUUCAUCAUCUCUUAAUCUGAUUUUGAUCCCCAAUACUCUCUGCAUUAGAAAUUGGUUCUAUUUCGUUGUAGCAAUUCUGACCAUUUGCUUUUUUCCAAUCUUCUGCCCUGCCAUGUUAUGUUUGAAAUAUUUCUAUAGUAAAUUAGUACUACUACUAGUCAGCUUGUGUAAACCCUAAAGUAUUUUGAAAUAUAAAAUCGAACUAGCUGUAUACAAGCUCAAAAUCAAGAAUAAAAGAUGAUCCAUGACAUGAUCUCAUAUCAUAGAAGACUUGUUCCUAAAUGGAGCUUGACAUCACUCAAACUCAGGAAAGUGAAGAUGGAAGUCAUUUAGUUGACGAUUUUGCUUCAGUCAUGGGACCUGAACAUCCAGGUCGCGUGAGAUUGUAUGGACAAGGGGUUACCAAGACUUUGUUAAAAGGGAAAAAAAGGGAAUCCUGGAUCUUCUUUAGAUGUUGAUGAGAGGAUGCAGCAGAAAAUAGAGGAAAUGAAAUAGAGGAUGCAACAAAUAAUGCAUGAAAAGUUGAACGAACAAAAUGAUGCUAUGGAACAAAAUAUUAUAAUGAACGUUAUUGCACAACUUCAGCGUCUGAACCCAGAUUUACGACUUGAUCCUGACAUGUUAAGGUUCAGUGCAUGUUCACCUAUAGAUGCUUCCUCUGUACAACAAACUGUUGUUCAACUAAACAAUCGACCAUCUGCUGGUAGUAACAAUCAAGAAGGGACCUGGAAAGAAAGAAUAGGUUGAAAAACCACUCCUUAAUCCUACAGGUGGAGUAGAUCAAGAAAUGGACGAUGAAGACGAUGAAGAACUAGACCUUACUUGAAAUGAAUUUUGAAUUGUUAUAGAUGAAUAUUCUAGGAAUCUUUUGUUACCAACAUUUUUGAACUUAUUUACUCUAUUGAAAUGUACUAAACUUAUGCACUCAUGGGGUAGAACAUUUGCUUUAUGGAUAUUAUUUGUUUGAUGGAUAAUUUUGUAUUAUUAA